GCUACCUUAGGGAUGUUCUGUAAAUGCAGUCUGUUCCUGGUUCACUAAAAUAUUCUGGAAUGGCUUGGCUCCUAGCACAGAAGGAAUUUCAGACUUCACUGAACUGCGAGGAGAGGUGCUCUCCCUGGAGAAGAGAUGAUCGCAAUUAGCAAGGAACACUACCUGGACCACCUUCGAAUGAGAGGCUUCCAGACAGCACUUCGAACUCCGCGUAGGGUGGACUGCGUGCGCGUUCCAAGCAGAGCUCAGCGCGCACGUACCGCGACAUCCACACACCAGGACGCGGCGGGGCGCUUUCCUUUCUUACCAUCCAUGGUUGCUGUCCCUCUGCAUCCGCUCGGCAUCCGUCGACAUGGUGAGUAGUCACUCACUGUAUCAUCGGAGGUGAGACAGACCCCACCCGCCGUUGUGUAUCUGUAUUUCUCAUUCCCCACCGAGGUUAGGGGAUGUAAUUGAGGAAAAUACGACGGUGCUGAAUGGGGAUGAUGGGCAGGCAAUUCAGAGCCUUGGGUCAUCCCGGUCAUACAAUUCUAAAUGGGUUACCUUAACACGGCGGCCGUUUAGUUACCCAGCGCUGGAGGAACUCAGCCGGUCAGGCAGCAGCUAUGGAGGGAAAUGGACAGUCGACGCUUCGGGUUGAGACCCUUCAUCUGAAAUGUUGUUUAGUGAAUUGACCGUUGUUGACGAUUCAGGAUUCCCCUCAUUCCUGAUCACUCGUACUGCAGAAACCUACCUGCAAAAUUGCUGUACAGCACAAACUAGAAGUGUGCCUUUUAUGGAAGUGGGCAGGAUAGCUGUUAGACAUCUGGCAACUAUGUAGUAUUUAGUGUACAGGCAAACACUGGGUUGAAAGGUUCACAGCAAUCUCCAUUCAAAUAGUGCUGCAAAGGCAACAGGCGAUGGCUGCCAUGGAAUCAUGACUUCAUUAGAAUUUGGCUAUCUUGUCUCAAUAUGGAUCUGGUCUACAUCUAGUCCUGAGGUGUUAAUUUGACAGUGUAUUUAAUGUUCUGUUGUGUAUAUUUGUUACUCAAGUAUUUUAAAGUGAAUUUUUAAAAUGUGAUUAAACUUUUGAUAAGUAAUUCAGUUUACAAUAAUUUGUUACAAAAUACUGUUUGCUUAUAAAAUGUUAUGGGCAUUGUGUAUAAAUGUCUACUGUUUACUGAGCUUCAGCACCUAAAGCUGCCAUUGUCAUCCCCUGGUUACACCACCACCACCUGUUUCAUUAUCUUGAGCCUCAUGGCUUGAUUUGGUGGGAAAUAUCCUCAUUGGAUUUGCCUGUAUUGUCUAUUUCUAUUUUCAGGUGUUAAGAGAAUUUGGAAAUGGGAUUUAGAAAGAAGUGGCUGAGGUAAAGAUUAGCCAUAUUGAUGGCCAGAGCACUACUAGAGGCCAAAUAGCCUGCAUCUAUAUUUCAUGCUCUUACACAUACUGCCUUUUCAAGGCUGAAACCGCUUGAUUAAUGUAAAUGUGCAAUGCACAGCAGACAACUAUGAUCAUUCUUGCAUUUGCAAGAGUACAAUAGCAUCAGAAUUGCUGUGACAUAGACCAUUUGGCUAUGGUCUCUGAAUGGAACAAUCCUUAAUCCUAUUCUCCUGAUCUUUCCCCAUAGUCAUACAUAUCAUUUUCCCAAUUGACUGAUUACCCCUAGAAGGACAUGACUUCUAAAUUGUACCUGCUUUUCUUUCAGUUUUUCCCUUGCAUCUUUUGCCUAAAGAUCAAACCUGUGCCAAAAAUGCUGCAAGUGCUCAGGAGGUUGGGCAGCAACAGCAGCAGGGAGAGAAAUGGAAAUUGUUUUGUCAAGGAUCCUUCGGAAUCAUUUGGAACUUAGUGAGAAGAGAACCAUGCAUGUUAAUUUGCAGAGAAGAGGAAAUGGGGUGCAGACCAGAGUUGCCAGUUUUAAAAACCUGCAAUUGGAACAAAACACCACAAAUAAUUUUGAAAUGUAAUUGAAACAAAGCUGCAGCUGCUUCUGUGAAGAAAAUAAAGGAGAGGGGUGUGGGGUUUACCUGAAAUUGUUAAACCUGAAGUUGUAAAGUGCUUGUACUGGCAUCAUUGGAGUAAUAUAGGAGGCUGAAAACAAAAGGUGUUGGAGUGAGGUGGAGAAUUAAAUUCAGAGACAACUGGAAGCUCAGGGCAGCUUUGGACUGAUUUUGGUUUCUACAAUGUAGAAGAGACCAAAUUGUGAACACCAAAUUAACAAGGACAUUCAGGAAUAUAGGAGCAGGCAGAGGCCACCAGAUCCCUUAAGCCUGCCUGCCAUUUAAUGUGACUAUGGCUGAUUAUUCCUAGCCCACUGCCCUCAAUCUUUAAUUACUUAAUGGGCUUGCACAACUCUUUGGGGGCAGAGAAGUCUAGAGAUUCACUACUCUCUGCAAGAAGAAAUUUCUAUGUACCUUGGUUUGAAAUUCUGACUAGUGAACACAUCUUGACAUCUACUGUCAUGCCUCCUUUUGUUUCAAUUAGAUCACCUCUCAUUCUUCUAAACUCACAAAUACAGAGCCAGAUUUGCUGGACUUAGAUGUUAUUCUAAUUCUGUACAAUUGGAUGCAAGUUAUAAGAGUGUUGCUGUUCAUAGUCAAACAGCAUGGAAACAAGACUUAAGACCUAAGUCCAUGCUGACAAUCAAGCAACUGUUUACACUAAUCCCAUUUUAACUUUAUGAAAAUCAAAACUGACUAUCUGAAAUAAAGUUUAAAUGUUGAAAAUAUUAAGCAAUUUAAACACUAAUCAACUCUAUUCUUUCUUUCCUAGUUCUGAUGAAGGGCCUUUGACCUGAAUCCUUAACUGUUCCUCAUUGCACAAGUGCUUGCUGACUGCAUCCAGCAUUUUCUCUAUUCCUUUAACACACAACUUUUUGCUGUAGAUUCAACCCCAAUUUCUCCAGUAAAACCUUGUAGCUAUAAUCCUUGAUCUCUGGGUACAGGCCAAAUGAGAUUAGUUCAAAUAGUUGUCUUGGAUAGCAUGGAUCAGUUGGGCCAAAGGGCCUUUUCCAUGCUCUGUGACGGAAACCAUUCUAGUACAGUUUUUUUGCACAAGACUGUCCCAAACUUUAUGGCUUAACUGGUUCAACAUCACCUCCUUACUUUUGUACUCUUAUGUCUGUGUUUAUAAAUUCAAAGAUUCCAUGUGCAUUAUUCACUCAACAUACCCUGCCAAUUUCAAAGAUUUGUGCACAUGUACUCCCAGAUCCCCAUUUCACUUCAAUUUAGUCCUUGGCAGUGAUAGAGUUGACACAACUGACAAUGGAAAGGGUUUGGCAGGAUGUGGUGGUGGAAGAGAAAAGGUUGGUGAAAAAGGUCUCAAUAUUAGGUAACCAUUCCCUGAAAGACAGUAAACAUUAAGUGAGACGUUGAUCAAACUCUGCUUUUAAACCUUGUCUCAGACAAGGUUAUAUAAAAAAAAAUGAAUUAUAGCUUCAAAUACAGAAUGGCUAUCAUCACAUCACAUCCUUCUCUAGAGUGAUGCAAGCACAGUGGAGCAAUGUAAAUCACCCUGAAACAGGCUGGAACAGUAAUGAUUUCACACUCCCACUUUAAACAUUUAAAAGCUAAAGCUGAUUUGCAUCUUUCAUAUUCUUAAUCUAUUAGCCUUAAGCACUUUUGAAGAACUUCUAUAAUAAACAAACACUUUAUUUCUGGGUUUAAGGCACAAGGGAUCCAAAACACGUUAGCAAAUUGUCAAAAUUGACUUUGAGGCAGAGGGUAGUGGUGGAUGGGUUUUUCUGACUGGAAAUCUGUACCAACAGGAUCAGUGUUGUUUGAAAUGACUUGAAUGAGUAUGUAGGUGAUACGAGUAGUAAGUUUGCAGAAAUUUUGUUUAUUCAUAGAUAGUGAAGGUUGUUCAAGGCUACAGUGGGACUAGAUCAGCUGAAAAGUUGGGCAGAGUGAUGGUGGGAAUUUAGUCCAGAUAAAUGUGAGGUAAUGCACUUUGGGAAAAUUCUGGUAGGACGUAUAGAAUAAGUGUCAGGCAUCUUGGGAGAAUUGAUGUACAAAGAGACCUUGGGGUACAGUCCAUAGAUCCCUGAAAGUGGUGUCACUGAUAGAGAAAAUUGCAUUUGGUAUGCUUGGCUUCCUUAGUCCAAAAAUCUUAAGUGUAAGAAUUGGAAUGUCAUGUUACUGAUAUACAAACAUUGGUUAGACUGCACUUGUGUACAUUUCUGGUCCCCACACUGCAAGGAUGUGGUAGCAACAGAGAGAUUCCAAACAGGUUCACCAGGAUAUUGGCUGGAAUGGAGGGCUGUAGUUACAAGGAGAGAUUAGAUAGGCUGAGUUUAUUCUCACCAGAACAUAGGAGGCCAAGGAUGACCUUAUAAGGUUUAUAAAAUUAUGAGGGGCAUAGAAAGGAUAGACAAACAGAAUCCUUUUCCCAGGACAGUGGAGUCUAGAACUAGAGGGCACGGGCUUGAGAGAGGAGAAAUUUAAAAGAAAUCUGAGGGGUAAGGUUUUCCACACUGAGGCUGAUAAAUAUCUGGAAUGAGCUGCCAGAAGUGGUGGAGGCAGAAACAAUCACAGCGUUUAUGAAGGUGUCUGGACAGGUAUUUGGAUAGGAAAAGCAUAGAGGGACACAGGCCUAAUGCAGACAAGUGGGAUUAGUAAUAGAUAGGCAUCAUGGUCAGGAUGGACAAAGUGGACCAAGAGGGCCCAUUUCUGUGCUGUACGUUUCUAUAAUUAAUGAACCCUCUAAAUGAAAAUAGUAAUGAUCAUUCAUAUGAACAAAUUUUAAAAUUCUUUCAUUUCUAUUUAUUUGUAGUACAAAAUAUAAAGACCUGGUUCAAGACCAACUUUACGUUGACUGGUUCUUUUGUCGCUCCUCGCUAGUUAUUUGGAUUAACUAACUUCUUUGCCAACUGUGAUAGCAGGUCAUGGCAGAUUUUCUGUUGAAGAACUCAUUGCUUAAAUUAUUCCAUCAUUUUCUACAGCAUAAACAAUAUUACUUCUAUUUUCUUGGAGUCUGCCUAUGAAGGAGACAGUUUCUGUUAAAGCGUAUUCGGUGUGACUGUCCUAUUUUGCUGUUAAGUAUAAAAGUUAACAAUUCAGAACAA